AGAGCGAACGCUGGCGGCAGGCCUAACACAUGCAAGUCGAGCGCCCCGCAAGGGGAGCGGCAGACGGGAGAGUAACACGUGGGAACGUACCCUUUGGUUCGGAACAACACAGGGAAACUUGUGCUAAUACCGGAUAAGCCCUUACGGGGAAAGAUUUAUUGCCAAAGGAUCGGCCCGCGUCUGAUUAGCUUGUUGGUGAGGUAACGGCUCACCAAGGCUACGAUCAGUAGCUGGUCUGAGAGGAUGAUCAGCCUCACUGGGACUGAGACACGGCCCAGACUCCUACGGGAGGCAGCAGUGGGGAAUAUUGGACAAUGGGCGCAAGCCUGAUCCAGCCAUGCCGCGUGGAUGAUGAAGGCCCUAGGGUUGUAAAGUCCUUUCGACGGGGAAGAUAAUGACGGUACCCAUAGAAGACGCCCCGGCUAACUUCGCGCCAGCAGCCGC
rnacentral:rRNA from 1 species